rnacentral:rRNA from 1 species
UACGUAGGAGGCAAGCGUUGUCCGGAAUCACUGGGCGUAAAGCGCGUGUAGGUGGAGCAGGAAGUCUGCUGUGAAAGCGCCUGGCUUAACCGGGCGAGGUCGGUGGAAACUCCUGGUCUAGAGGCCGGUAGAGGGGGUGGAAUUCCGGGUGUAGUGGUGAAAUGCGUAGAGAUCCGGAGGAACGACCCGUGGCGCAAGGCGGCUAAGCUGG